rnacentral:rRNA from 1 species
GACGAGCAUCACAAACGUUAUUCGGAAUUACUGGGCUUAAAGGGUGCGUAGGCGGUGUAGCAAGUCGGGAGUGAAAUCCCACAGCUCAACUGUGGAAUUGCUUUCGAUACUGCUGUGCUUGAGUGAGAUAGAGGUAAGCGGAACUUAGGGUGGAGCGGUGAAAUGCGUUGAUAUCCUAAGGAACACCGGUGGCGAAGGCGGCUUACUGGGUCUCUACUGACGCUGAUGCACGAAAGCCAGAGUAGCGAACGGG